AUGGCAAUCCAUGUCUUGCAGAGGGCGCGAAGUUCAUCUGCACAAAGCAAGAAGUUCAGGCAAGGCAAGAUUGAAGAAGAAGGCAACAAGUGGGAGGAAGUUCAUGUAGCGUUGCUGGAUUUGAAGGCGCCGCCGAUGCCGCCUCCGCCACGGAGUUGCUCCGUUAGCCGCGCCGUUGGCCGUAGCUUGUGUCGGGCCGUCAUCUACUCUGCCAAGGCGUCGAGCGGUGAGGGUGGUAGGAGGAUGAGGCUUCCAGAAGUCCAUGGCGUCUUCGCCGCAUCCAGGCGACGCGGGCAACCUCGCACCGGCGUCCGCUGUCACUCACUCGCCCGCGCCAGUGGUCGGUAA
rnacentral:rRNA from 1 species